UUUGCUAAGUUAUGCCUGCGUGGAAUAUGCAUGUCUUUAUGCUUGCUCGUUUUUAACUUAACAACUUUUUGGUUUUGAUAUUCGUAUACUUGCUCGACAUUGUUGUAUGCCUGCUCGACAAAACCGUUUUUAUAUUUGUAAGUUUUUGUUGCGAGCGCGUUUCGUCGAGGAGGUCGUCCUCGGAUUUAACUUAGAAAGUUUAGGGAACUAACUAAGCGCCUAGAGUUGUUUUCUGAGGCUAAUACGGACGCCGACACGUUGUUGUGCCCGCCCCCGCGGCUUGAACUUCCCAUCGCGAGCUGGGCGUUAAGCCUUGGCACGAAGACGAGGAGCUUGUCUCAA
rnacentral:lncRNA from 1 species